GAUGAACGCUGGCGGCGUGCCUAAUACAUGCAAGUCGAACGCAUAGCGAAAGGUGCUUGCACCUUUCAAGUGAGUGGCGAACGGGUGAGUAACACGGGGACAACCUGCCUCAAGGCUGGGGAUAACAUUUGGAAACAGAUGCUAAUACCGAAUAAAACUUAGUGUCGCAUGACACAAAGUUAAAAGGCGCCUCGGCGUCACCUAGAGAUGGAUCCGCGGUGCAUUAGUUAGUUGGUGGGGUAAAGGCCUACCAAGACAAUGAUGCAUAGCCGAGUUGAGAGACUGAUCGGCCACAUUGGGACUGAGACACGGCCCAAACUCCUACGGGAGGCUGCAGUAGGGAAUCUUCCACAAUGGGCGAAAGCCUGAUGGAGCAACGCCGCGUGUGUGAUGAAGGCUUUCGGGUCGUAAAGCACUGUUGUAUGGGAAGAACAGCUAGAAUAGGAAAUGAUUUUAGUUUGACGGUACCAUACCAGAAAGGGACGGCUAAAUACGUG
rnacentral:rRNA from 1 species